rnacentral:lncRNA from 1 species
UCUACAUUUGAGGGUGUUGGAAUUGGGUGAGCUCCAAUACUUAGUAAGAAAGGCAAUAUUAAAGGCAUACAAACAUGCUUUGAAAACAUUUCCUUAAUGCAGAUUUAAAAAAAAAUAGUGAUAAAAGCAAAUAAUCAAGAAACAAUGAUAAGAUACUACUUAAUCAGCAUAAUAACAAUUUAACCAUCAAUGGUACUCAACACCGUAUUGAAUGCAUUCACAUAAUUCACACACAUACAUCUAGGACUAGACACAUCUUCUAACUUAAUUU